rnacentral:lncRNA from 1 species
CUGCCUGUGAUGAGAAAGAUCAAAGCAUGCAUACAAUUAUAAAUCAUGACACAGAGGCAACAUGCAAUUAUUUAGAAAUCUGGAAAAAAGAAGCACAAACUAAGAGAUUAAAAUCAUCUACAAUUCCAUCAUGCAGAGGAAACUACAGGGGCUUUGGAACUGCACAUAGAAAAACUAUGACUUCCUCAGGAUACAAAAUCAAUGUGCAAAAAUCCCAAGCAUUCCUAUACACCAGCAAUA